rnacentral:Y_RNA from 1 species
GGCUGGUCCGAUGGCAGUGGGUUAUCAGAACUUAUUAACAUUAGUGUCGGGGCUGGGGGUUUAGCUCAGCGGCAUAAGCACCUGCCUUGCAAGCAGGCGGUCGUGAGUUCAAUCCUUGGUACCGAUAAAAAUGAAAAAGACAAAAAAAAACAAAAAACAAAAAACAUUAGUGUCACUAAAGUUGGUAUACCACCCCCCCACUGCUAAAUUUGACUGGCUUUAA